rnacentral:rRNA from 1 species
GGUUAAGUUAUAAAGAGCGCACGGGUGGAUGCCUUGGCACUGGGAGCCGAUGAA